rnacentral:misc_RNA from 1 species
UUUCCGUUGGUGAGCCAGCGGAGGGAUCAUUACAGGACUCGCAAGACUCCUUCACCCUGUGAACCUCACUACAAGCACGUUGCUUCGGCGGGUGUCCCGGCGGGGGUUUUCCCUCGCCGGGGCGCACAGCCCGCCGGCAGCCUACUAUACUCUGUCUCUUUGCGUUGGCAUCUCGAGAAAAAACAAACAAGUUAAAACUUUCAACAACGGAUCUCUUGGUUCUG